rnacentral:rRNA from 1 species
UUUGACUCAACGCGGGAAAUCUUACCAGGUCCGGACACACUGAGGAUUGACAGGAAGUAUCGUCUUUUGAAUUCUUUAAGGAUAUGUCGUUUUUAAUGACAUCUUUUAGAUGGAUGAUUCGUGUAAAUAUGCUAGUUCUUUCAUGAUUAUGUGAUAGGUGGUGCAUGGCCGUUCUUAGUUCGUGGAGUGAUCUGUCUGCUUAAUUGCGUUUCACUAAGGCCCCAAAGUUAGCAAAUUAUCAAUCGUUACAGAGUCGACCCCUCACCUUUGAGUGCGCGUCCUAACUUGUAGUACAUGGUGUAAAUGGAUUUGUUUUGGGUACCCAGAAAGCAACGAACGUGACCGCAACGUCUUGUUGUCUCUCUUUGACAGUUAUGGGUUAUCCCAGUCAUGUGUUUAUACUUUUAUGUGUAAAUACGUACGACACAGAGACUAGAUACCAAACUAGGCGUACCGCUGUAUCAUUUCUUUAAACCAGAGGAAGGUUGCGGCAAUAACAG